rnacentral:rRNA from 1 species
AUGGUGUUCAUUGACUUAGAGAAGGCCUAUGAUAAGAUACCACGGAAUGUCAUGUGGUGGGCCUUGGAGAAACACAAAGUCCCAGCAAAGUACAUCACCCUCAUCAAGGACAUGUACGAUAAUGUUGUGACAAGUGUUCGAACAAGUGAUGUCAACACUGAUGACUUCCCGAUUAAGAUAGGACUGCAUCAGGGGUCAGCUUUGAGCCCUUAUCUUUUUGCAUUGGUGAUGGAUGAUGUCACAAGGGAUAUACAAGGAGAUAUCCCAUGGUGUAUGCUCUUUGCGGAUGAUGUGGUGCUAGUUGACGAUAGUCGGACGAGGGUAAAUAGAAAGUUAGAGUUAUGGAGACAAACCUUGGAAUCGAAAGGGUUUAGGCUUAUUAGAACUAAAACUGAGUACAUGAUGUGCGGUUUCAGUACUACUAGGUGUGAGGAGGAGGAGGUUAGCCUGGAUGGCCAGGUGGUACCUCAGAAGGACACCUUUCGGUAUUUGGGGUCAAUGCUGCAGGAGGAUGGGGGUAUUGAUGAAGAUGUGAACCAUCGAAUCAAAGCCAGAUGGAUGAAGUGGCGCCAAGCUUCUGGCAUUCUCUGUGACAAGAGAGUGCCACAAAAGCUAAAAGGCAAGUUCUACAGGACGGCGGUUUGA